GACGAACGCUGGCGGCGUGCUUAACACAUGCAAGUCGAGCGGAGCGGCGAACGGGUGAGUAACGCGUGAGUAACUGCCCCCCUCCCUGGGAUAACAGUUGGAAACGGCUGCUAAUACCUGAUAGUGGGGGAUGACUCGCGUCCUAUCAGCUUGUUGGUGGGGUAGUGGCCUACCACGGCGACGACGGGUAGCCGGCCUGAGAGGGCGACCAGCCACACUGGACUGAGACACGGUCCAGACUGCUACGGGAGGCAGCAGUGGGGAAUAUUGCACAAUGGGGGAAACCCUGAUGAAGCAACGCCGCGGGCGGGAUGACGGCCUUCGGGUUGGAAACCGCUUUAAGCCAUGACGCGGUAGUGGCAGAAGAAGCACCGGCUAACUACGUGCCAGCCGCCGUGGUAAUAC
rnacentral:rRNA from 1 species